rnacentral:rRNA from 1 species
AACGUAGGUUCCGAGCGUUAUCCGGAUUUACUGGGCGUAAAGCGCGUUCAGGCGGUUUGACAAGUCGGGCAUGAAAUCUCUCGGCUCAACCGGGAGAGGUUGUCCGAUACUGUCAGACUUGAGGGCAGUAGAGGGUGGUGGAAUUCCGGGUGUAGUGGUGAAAUGCGUAGAUAUCCGGAGGAACACCAGUGGCGAAGGCGGCCCCCUGGCCUGUCCCUGACGCUCAUUCGCGAAAGCUAGGGGAGCGAACGGG